rnacentral:tRNA from 1 species
GUGGGAGUGGUGGAAUUAGUAGACACGCCAGAUUUAGGAUCUGGUGCCGCGAGGAGUGAGAGUUCGAGCCUCUCCGCCCCUA